GAACGCUGGCGGCGUGCCUAAUACCUGCAAGUAGAACGCACAGUUUAUACCGUAGCUUGCUACACCAUAGACUGUGAGUUGCGAACGGGUGAGUAACGCGUAGGUAACCUGCCUGGUAGCGGGGGAUAACUAUUGGAAACGAUAGCUAAUACCGCAUAAUAUUAAUUAUUGCAUGAUAAUUGAUUGAAAGAUGCAACUGCAUCACUACCAGAUGGACCUGCGUUGUAUUAGCUAGUAGGUGAGGUAACGGCUCACCUAGGCGACGAUACAUAGCCGACCUGAGAGGGUGAUCGGCCACACUGGGACUGAGACACGGCCCAGACUCCUACGGGAGGCAGCAGUAGGGAAUCUUCGGCAAUGGACGAAAGUCUGACCGAGCAACGCCGCGUGAGUGAAGAAGGUUUUCGGAUCGUAAAGCUCUGUUGUAAGAGAAGAACGGGUGUGAGAGUGGAAAGUUCACACUGUGACGGUAGCUUACCAGAAAGGGACGGCUAACUACGUG
rnacentral:rRNA from 1 species